rnacentral:lncRNA from 1 species
GAAGAUCUUUGAGUCACGAUGAGUUUGGGCCAAUGAUGAAUUUGGCAUGACAUAUUUUAUCAUCUUAUUUCAGAGACUUUAACUUUUUGCAGUAUCAUCUGUUUUCUUUCUCACUCUCUUUUCAACCUGAAGCCUCAUUUGGGCCAUUAAGAUUGAUCCAAGGAAGUGAAUUCUUAACCAUCUGGGGCCAAGCAUGCCCAUCCAUUUCAUAAGAAGAGUUCAGAAAAUUUAAUCCCUGCUAAACACCGGGAUGUUAGUAUUCCAUUGCAUAUUUGGACUUUUUGCUUUUAAACUUAAGUAGCAAUGAUUUAGCACCAAGACAACACUUACUGUUAAAAUUUUAAAUGGAUGACUGAAACGUUUGUGUUCUCAUUAGGAAAGGUUUUUCAUCAGUGAAUCCACAAGAGGCAGAAGAAAAUAAGCAACAAAUUGAGAGUUCUAUUACAAGAAUAAUUAUUUUCGCACUUCAAAGACUUUUAAAAACAAUUUCAACAUUUCAACACACACAUUUUUAACAGGACAAUUUUGAAACUGAUUCAGGUAACUCUGCAUUGAAUAUUCAUCUAUAUUUAAGAAUGUAAAGAAAAGGACAAAUAAGAAAUACUUUCCUUGAAAUAAAUACUAGUAAUAAAGAAGCUAUAGUCCCUACAAAAAAUAAAUAAACAAAACAAAACAAAAAAACUGGAAUUGCUCAUAACAAAGUUACCAAAGAAGAGGUAUGAUUAUUUGAUGAUGUAAAUGUCAUAUGAAAGUAUUUGAAGUUAACUUACAACUAUUUCCCCUUCUUCCAAAAACUGAAAGGAAGUCUUUGUAGCAAGUAGAAAAUUUUGUACAAAGACAUUCUCUGAUUUAAUGAUACAAAUUGACAUCUGUUGUUUUUCAACAUCACACAUUUUUGAAAGAUCAAAUAUAAUGAUCAAACUUUUGUAACUACAUUUUCUGUCUUAUAGCCAUAGUUCUUAUAGCAAUAGUUCUUGUAGCAAUAUUUUCUUUCUCUGCUAACAAUUUAUAUUAGGACAAUGAAUUCAACAUUUGCAUUUGUACACAUUUAUGUUUUUAUGUUGUUUCAUUUGCGUUAAUAAAAUCUGUGAUUGAAAUAGAG